rnacentral:rRNA from 1 species
CGAGCUAAGUUCCUUGGAACAGGACGUCCUAGAGGGUGAGAGCCCCGUAUAGGCUUGAGUGACCUUCUCCGUGUGAAGCUCCUUCGACGAGUCGAGUUGUUUGGGAAUGCAGCUCUAAGCGGGAGGUAUAUUUCUUCUAAAGCUAAAUAUUCGGUGUCACCGAUAGCGAACAAGUAGAGUGAUCGAAAGAUGAAAAGCACUUUGGAAAGAGAGUUAAAAAGCACGUGAAAUUGUUGAAAGGGAAGCUCUUGCCACCAGACUUGCCCGCGGUCGUUCAGCCUCCCUUCCGGGUGGUGUAUUCUUCCGCGGGCGGGCCAGCAUCAGCUCGAGCGGCCGGAUAAAGGCCUUGGGAAUGUAGCUCCUCUAGGGGAGUGUUAUAGCCCUCGGCGCAAUGCGGUCAGCUUGGGUUGAGGAUCGCGUUUUUGCUAGGAUGCUGGCGUAAUGGUUGCAAGCGACCCGUCUUGAAACACGGACCAAGGAGUCUAACAUCUAUGCGAGUAUUUGGGCGUUAAACCCAUGUGCGUAAUGAAAGUGAACGGAGGUGGGAACCCUUUAAACGGGGUGCACCAUCGACCGAUCCUGAUGUCUUCGGAUGGAUUUGAGUAAGAGCAUAGCUGUUGGGACCCGAAAGAUGGUGAACUAUGCCUGAAUAGGGUGAAGCCAGAGGAAACUCUGGUGGAGGCUCGCAGCGGUUCUGACGUGCAAAUCGAUCGUCAAAUUUGGGUAUAGGGGCGAA